CCAAGGUGUUGGACUCCCUGCAGUCACAGCACAGAGACCUGAUACCGAGGACACAACUUCCUGCCUCACUGACAGUGCCUGCAUUGUGACACUGGCAGCUCUUCAGCUCUUCUUCAUUGUUGCUGGUCUCUUGGUAUCUACAGGAGACUAGUCUAGAUGACCUACACACAGUGAGAGAGCUUUUUCUAAUGUGAAGACCUGACAGUCAACACAGAGAAAACAGACAAAGCAGAGUGACGUGGAGGAAGGAGGAUUCCCUGAUUCUGGUGAGUUCUGGGAACGAGUGCCACAAUUUUCAGCCAGAUGCCAAGAAACCCAG